UACAGAGGCCCCAAGCAUUAUCCGGAAUCACUGGGCGUAAAGGGUGUCUAGGCGGUCGUAUUAGUCGUUUGUAAAAUCCGUGGGCUCAACCUACGGUUCGCAAGCGAAACGGUACGACUAGAGGGUGUAAGAGGUAUAUGGAACUCAUGGUGUAGGGGUGAAAUCCGUUGAUAUCAUGGGGAACACCAAAGGCGAAGGCAAUAUACUGGUACACUCCUGACGCUCAAACACGAAAGCCAGGGGAUCGAACGGG
rnacentral:rRNA from 1 species